UACGUAGGGGGCAAGCGUUGUCCGGAUUUAUUGGGCGUAAAGAGCGUGUAGGCGGCUUGGUAGGUCCGCUGUGAAAACUCGAGGCUCAACCUCGAGAUGUCGGCGGAAACCACUUGGCUAGAGUCCGGAAGAGGAGAGUGGAAUUCCCGGUGUAGCGGUGAAAUGCGCAGAUAUCGGGAAGAACACCUAUGGCGAAGGCAGCUCCCUGGGACGGUACUGACGCUGAGACGCGAAAGCGUGGGGAGCGAACAGG
rnacentral:rRNA from 1 species